UUGAGUUUGGAGUUCUAUAAUCUAUAGAUAUUCUGCAUAGUAACCUUGAAGGAGGAUGAGAAAAGGCAUAGAAAUGAAAAGUUUUCUCUUAAAAAAUGAGGCCGAAACCUCUAUAACUUUGGUAGCACCUAUAAUUUUUUAUCUUGAAUUUACAGGUAAAUUAUCAUUGAGAUUGGAGGCUCUUCUUUCCUGAAUUGUAAGGCUUGUGCCCAUGUAGAAAUGUUGGAUACUCUUGAACAAUUUCAUAAACAGAUCUACAACCCCUGCGUCACUGGUAAAAGUUUACAUAUUGACCGCCUAACAAUUUUUCGACCACUCAAGGAUAUCUCUGCAGAUAAGCUCUUGUCCAAUUGAAUCGAAUUAAUAUAGCAAUCAUUUUACAUAGCGGCCAUAAGCAUUAGAAAGUAAAAGAAUAGAUGUUUAGAAGUUCAUAAGAUAAAUUGUUUAGAGAAUCGCAAACAAAUUGCAGCGCAAAUAUAAGAGCUCAAGCUUGAACGAAGUAAAUAGGUCCUCCAUAUUGCACCAGAAGGAAAAUGUAUUAAGAUCUUAUUAUGAACUACAGAAGAAACAUACAAUGGAUAAUCAAAUAUACUCAUAAAUCAGAUCAAGCAAUUCAACAACUGUAAGAGAUAUCUGCAAAAGAAAAAAUUACAAUAAAUAUUUAAAGUUAUAAUUCCCAAGAUUUGAGAGGAAAUACAAUAUAUCAAACUUAAGAACACCGAUGCAAGCCAAAGAUGACAUUAAGAGCGAGGAUUUUUCGAUAUAUAGAUAUAUUAAUCUCAUGUACUACAUUCAUCACAAAGAGAACAUUGUUGGCCAAAGUUAAGUAAUAAUAGAUGUGAAUUCAGUGUAUCCAAGGAAAAGUAGACUCAUUUCAACACAAGAAUGGUCAUGAAUACAACACGAUAAUUCCUAAAUAAUGGAUGGAAACUAAGAAAAGGUACAAAACUAUUUCUUGAAUCUCAAUAUCCAUCACUGCCAAACACUAUUUAUGAAUAAAACUAAAAAAGAAAGCUAAGGCCAUCGAUGUUUUAAUUUCUAGAAGGCAAUCAGGUCCUUCUAAGCUACUAAGGAAAGGAUAGUAACUGCUAGAUUUGCCUAUCUAUUAAGAGGACAGAUAGCACCUAAUGUCACAAACUUUCAAAUUCCUUUUGAACAGAACCGAACACACACAAAAAAAAAAACUAUGGGUGAAUCUGCAAACAAUAAAAAUCACCUUCAUUCUUCCGUUUAUUAUUGCUUAUUUUUACAUAUAUAUUUUGGGUAAAUAUUACUUUUAUUUGAGCUGAUGAACUUGUUCUUUUCGUUCUGAACAGUUUUACCAAUUUUCUGUUGUGUAUAUUUCCUUUCAAAAUGAAUAGAGCAAGUAAAGAAUAUGAUCAUACGUACUUUAGUUCAAUGUGGUGCUAGUUCUUCGAGAAGCUUCGUUCUUUUACUUCUCUUUUCUUACCUGUGGAAUGAAAAGAAUGAGUCAAAAAAAUUGUAAUAGGAAUUAGUAUAUAAAAACAACAUAAAAUAAAAAUAUUCACUCCUUUCUGUAAGACUAUGGAAAAAUUUCAAAAGACUCCAUAAUAAUGACACACCAUAUAUAGUAAUGAAAGAUACAAAUAUCAAAGUUGAACUGGAGCAUUUAGUUCAUAGGACCAAAAAAUUACACAAAAAGAAAAGACUACAUAUAGGUUCUUGAAGCAAUUUACCCAUCAAAUCAAAUCGAACAAUUUUGUCUAUUUCUUCAUUCAUACAUUGUCCCAAACUCUGUCCCCACUAAUGACAAAGUAAAGUGAAAAUACCAUUGAAGAAGUGAAGAAGUGAAGGAUAGCGAUAACGUAUAAUAACGCUAAAAACGUAAAAACCUACCAUCUUUGAGAAAUUUCUUCACAGCCAGAUCUAGAUUUUCGUGGGAAGUGGUAAAAACCUAAGAUCUUUGAGGAAAUUCUUCGCAGGUCUGGAUUUUUAUCGGAAGUGGAAAGGUUUCUUGAUGCAUAUGUAAUAAAGAGAAACAAUUACAAUAGAAAAAAGCGACUGUUAGUGGAAAAAAGGUGCGGCGGUUAAUGGAACCGGCAGUGGUAAGCGAGUAGAAGUAAAGAAGUGACUGUCAGUGGAAAAAAGAGAGAUAAAAAUGCUAAGCACAUUAAGCGAAAAAAAU
rnacentral:lncRNA from 1 species